GCCGGUGACGCCGACAAACACGUCGCCGACGGUACGUAAGGAGAACGUAUGGAGGAGUGUGUUUCACCCAGGAAGCAAUCUAGCUACCAGGAGGAUUGGUGCUGAGGUGUUUGAUAAGCCUUCUCACCCUAAUGCUCCCACUGUUUAUGACUGGUAAGUUUUAACUCCAUACAGAUCAUAAUAGCAUAGCAUAAAUUAACUUUUAAUUUGUUUAAUUUAAUUACUGGUCGAAGGGUGAUACGAAAAGUUAAGUGGUGCAAAUGUUAUUAUAACUGUUAUUAUGAGUGUGUUGUUUGAUUUUUGAUGGCAGGCUGUACAGUGGGAACACCAGAUCUAAGCAUCAUGAGAAGAGCUGAGAGCUUUUGGGUGGCUAAAGAAGCAUCAUGAUCUUGAAAAUCUGCAUGUAAAUAGUGUUUUUCUUUUUCUGCGAGUUGCUUCGUUAAUGAAGUAUGGGUUGCUGGACUUUUAUGUUUGUUUGUGAAUAUAGUACUAUGUUUUUUCU
rnacentral:lncRNA from 1 species